rnacentral:rRNA from 1 species
UACGUAGGGUGCGAGCGUUGUCCGGAAUUACUGGGCGUAAAGGGCUCGUAGGUGGCCAACUAAGUCAGACGUGAAAUCCCUCGGCUUAACCGGGGAACUGCGUCUGAUACUGGAUGGCUUGAGGUUGGGAGAGGGAUGCGGAAUUCCAGGUGUAGCGGUGAAAUGCGUAGAUAUCUGGAGGAACACCGGUGGCGAAGGCGGCAUCCUGGACCAAUUCUGACACUGAGGAGCGAAAGCCAGGGGAGCAAACGGG